GAGCUGUUCCCUUCUCCUUUCUCCGGGACGACCCCGUUGGCCGCGUUCUCUGUCCCGUUCUCGAUCCCCAUCGUCCCGUUCUCGAUCCGGUUGACCCCGUUCUUGAUCCACUUGACCCCGUUCCCGUUCUGGUUGACGCUGUCGACCCCGUUCUUGAUCCCAUUGAUGUUUCUGCUGCUGUUCUUGAUCCAGUUGACGCUGCUUUCGAUCUGGUCGACCCCGUUCUCGAUCUGGUUGACCCCGUUCUUGAUCCCGUUGACAUCUACUCUGCUGUUCUUGAUGUGGUUGACCUGGUUGGCGAUGGCGGCCAAGGCCGGGCGGCGACGGUCGCGUUGGGGGCCGGCGGCCAGCUGGGCCAAGGGACGGAGAGCCGGGAGAGCGUCGUCCAAGGAGGAGGUGGGGGGUUCCGUCAGGUGGCGGAGGGCGCGGGUGACGGACGGGCAGGCCGGGUGGCUCGGGGCCAUGGCGGCCAAGCGGGAGGCCAAGGCGCGGAGGGCACCGGCGCGGCACAGGGAGACGCGGCAGCGGGGGGAAGCGGCGAGGAUGCGGAGGGCGCGGGACGCGCUGUGAAGGCACUCCGGGCUGGAGCAGGUGGAGGUCAGGGACACCAGGAGGGGACCGGCGCCUGCGGGGACAAGAAAGGGGGAGGGGAUGCUGAUCUAGAACCAGCUGUGGGUGGAGAACCCAUCGGGGACAUCGGUUGGGGACAAUAGAGGGGGAUGCGGGAGGAUGUAGAAGCUGCCGAGGGGGGAGAGCCCGUUGGGGACAUCACCUGGGGACAAUACAGAGUGAUGUGGGGGGAUCUAGAACCUGUCGGGGGGGAGAACUCAUUGGGGACAUCACUUGGGGACAAUAGCAAGGGAUAUGAGGGGAUCUAGAACCCAUUUGGGGGGGAAAACCCAUUGCUGAGAUCACUGAAAGACAACACAGCAGAAUGCGGGGGGAUCUAGAACCCGUUGGGGGUGGAGAACCCAUUGGGGACAUCGGUUGGGGACAAUAGAGGGGGAUGCAGGAGAAUGUAGAAGCCGUCGAGGGGGGAGAGCCCGUUGGGGACAUCACCUGGGGACAAUAUAGAGUGAUGUGGGGGGAUCUAGAACCCGUUGGAGGGGAGAACUCAUUGGGGACAUCACUUGGGGACAAUAACAAGGGAUAUGAGGGGAUCUAGAACCCAUUUGAGGGGGAAAACCCAUUGCU
rnacentral:lncRNA from 1 species